UAGGGAGAUCACAUUUUGUGCCAUGUGAAGCUGAUGAAGAGUGUCCACCAGCCCAAGUACCAGUAAAUUAUCUGGGGAACUACAGGUCUGUCAGCCUGACCUCAGUGCCAGGCAGGUCCUGCUUGACCAACCCAAUCUCAUUCCAUGAUCGAGUUACCCGCCUGGUAGAUGAGGGAAGGGCUGUUGACAUAGUCUACCUGGACUUCAGCAAAGCCUUUGAACUGUGUCCCACAUUUCAAAGAGAAGCUGGCACUCCAUGGCUUGGACAGGUACACUCUCUGCUGUGUAAAGAACUGGAUGUAUGUCUGGGCCCAGAGUGGUGGUGGAUGGAGUUAAAUCCAGCUAGUGACUGGUUAUGAGUGGUGUUUCCCAGGGUCGGUACUGGGGCCUGUCCUCUUCCAUAUUUUUAUUGAUGACCAGGAUGAGGGCACUGAGUGACCCUCAGUAAGUUUGCAGUUGACACCACGUUGGCUGGAAGUGUUGAUCUGCCUGGGGAUAAGAGGGCCCUACAGAGCAGUCUGGACAUGCUGGAUAGCUGGGCUGAGGCCAAUGUGAUGAGGUUCAACAAGACCAAAUGUCGGGUCCUGCACUUUGGCCACAACAACCCCAGGCAAUGCUGUAGGCUUGGGGCAGAAAGGCUGGAAGACUGUGUAGGGAAAAUGGAUCUGGGGUUGUUGGUCAACGCUCAGCUGAACAUGAGACAGAAGUAUGCCUAAGUGGCCAAGGUGGCCAAUAGCAUCCUGGCUUGUUGUGAUGCCAGCAGGAGCAAAGAAAUGAUCACUGCUCUGUAUUCACCACUGGUGAGGCUGCACCUCAAGUACCAUGUUCAGUUUUGGGCCCCUCACUACAGAAAAGAUGUUGAAGCCACGGAUUGUGCCCAGAGAAGGGUACUGAAGCUGGUGAGGAGUCUGGAGCACAAGUCAUAUGGGAAUGGCUGAGGGAACUGGGAUUAUUUAGUCUGGAGAAGAGGAGGCUCAGGGAAGACCUUGUUCUCUACAACUACCUGAAGGAAGGUUGUGGUGAGGUGGGGGUUGGCCUUUUCUCUGAUGUAACUAGUGACAAGAUUAGAAGGAGUGGCCUCAAAUUGCACCAGAGGAGAUUCAGGUUGAACGCUAGGAAAUACUUGGAGGCAUGACUUCAGAUUAUACCAGUCAAAUGAGUGUUUACUUAUUUGUAGAGCAU
ensembl:lncRNA